rnacentral:lncRNA from 1 species
UGCAUUCUUACAAGACAUUUGUUUAAAUUUCUUCAAGCACAUGCAGAUAUUUGAUGAUCUUUUAUAAGAAAAAAAUUUUUUUAAAAAAAGAAAAAUUUAAGGUAGCCUCAAAAAUGUGUCUUUAUGGUAUCGUAGUCAUCAAUUUAAUUCCACAGUUCUAGGUCUUGGGCCUUCAUGAGAUAAUACUGGAAGUCCACUCAAAGGGAAUGGGAUAAUUCUGAUGCCCUAAAGAAAAUUCAAAUGUAAUCAGACUGUUUGGAAGGUAGUAAACAUGUAAAUCAUAUGUUCAGUAUAAAAUGUCAGCAUUUUGUUAGGGUUACCCGAGCACUCCUAUCCAUCCUGAAGUACCCAUCAUUCUGUUCCUUGUGCCUCUGUGAUGCUUUCCUCUUUCCCCAGUAGGACACUGGGCACUGGAUGCAUGUCAGUUCCUUCUGUCCACCAAGCUUGCCCUAGAGCAGAGCUGAGCUUUUAAAGCCCUGUUCUUUGCACAGAACAUGACUCAUCAUAGGUUCUCAGCGAACGCCUAGAGAAGUGACUAUCAAUCUGUUUUGACUGAAAUUCAGUCUCAAAUACAUUUUAAGUAUGACACAGUAGAUGCACAGGGAUGACUCUGUAUAAAUUGGAACAAAAGUUUUGUGAAAAAAAAAUAGUUAAUCUUUCUAUGUACCAUCCAUAGAUAUUUCCUAGUUUACUUUGUUUCAUUUUUUAAAAAUAUUGGUCAAGACCAUUAAAUUGAUUCCAAACUUACUAACUAUGCUUUUAAAUUGUAGAAAUUACCCAGAUGCCAAUGAUCAGUUAAUUGGCUUACUUAGGAUUGGUACAAUACAAAAAUAAUCUUUCAAAUAUUGGUUUCCCUAGAAUCUGUUAUGGUUACUGUUGGUAGGUAAGAAUUAUUACUAUGAAUGUUCCGUCAACUUCCUACCAGCCGAUUGCCCACUUAAGAAGGCAGGACAGUGUCAGGCCCCACAUUGUUUAUUCCCUGCUGUCCUCUACAGUUACCUGUGUUAGUCCCUUGUACUCUCUGAAGAUCCUUGGGCCAAUUCUGAAGAACAAAAUGAACAGAAAGGCGUAAAAAGUGGCGAAGACGAUACUGCGAUCUCUGAAGGACUCUGGUGCCAUGGAUUCCUUCGCCUACAAGAGCCCUGCGAGUGGCCCUGAGAGGUAGAAAGGCGGUUUAUCUGCAGAAAUUUUUGGUCUUCUGGAUCUCAU